CCAUCGCAUGCUUUUGUUUUGAAGGCAAAAUACGAAAACCGGAGGUCUUAUUGCUGAUGCCGAAUCUCUAUUGUUGCCUGCAUGACUCUAAUCCAUUGUAGCUAUCGAGUUGUGUAUAGCCUGAUUUAUGCUUCGGCGGGUCUUGCAUUGUUAAUGUCAUGUGCGUCUGUACGCAGACGUGCUUUUCAUUUAUAGUUGUGCGGCCUUGUUGUGUAGAUGGCCAUUACACUUCUUAGCACUAGGCGGCGAUAUCGCGCAAAACGUUGGUUUUUUCGCUUGUAAAUCAGGAAAGCUUCACAGAAGAAGUAACUGUAUAGUUGGUAAACAAUAUAAUAAGCUGUUUCUCAAUGUCAAGGAAGGAUCCUUCGAAGCCAGAAUUUGGAGGAUGCUACGUCAUCGACGUCCGUCGAAGGACCAUUCCAAUGUCGAGGAUCCUCCGAUUCCUACCAAGGACUGAGUCCUUUGUUCGGCGAAUUUCCCAUAGACGGCAAAGGAUGCAUAUGUCCACGCACUUCACGCAAUCCUGUUUCAGGGGACCGUUGCUAUCGCUCCACCUGCAAACAUUCCUGGGAUAGGAGUCACCAUCCCCAUGUCAUCGUUGGAGAUGCUGCUUUUCCGUUGCAUGUAAAUCUGAUGUAGCCCUUUCAAAGUGGCAAUCUGAACAAAAGCAAGAGGACCUACAACUAUCAACAUUCAUGGGCCAGACGUGUGAUUGAGAACUAAUUUGGUAUGACGGUCGCAUGGUGGAGAAUUCUAGGCAGACCGUCAGAAUUCCUACCAGACAAAUGUGCACAUGUUGUGAAGGCCUGUGCUGCACUGCACAACUAUCUGGCCUAUACAGAUGCUGCCAACACACCUGCAACAAAGUAUAUACCACCUAAUUUGAAAGACUCUUUUGAACAAUGGCGAGGCACAGCCAGGGAGUGGAGAAGACAGAUCACAGAGGGAGGCAUCUUGGCUGAUGCAGGGAGAGCCUCUGGGCUGCUGUUGGAGUCUGCAAUGACCUAAUGAGGUUUUUCAUGUGCCAUGGCAGGAUACAGUGCUGAGGGCUAGCCUACUGAACUCUCAGUGAAUUAUGGACAUACACAAUUAAAGAACCUCUUUAUUUUGUUAAAUAUUUGUAUGUACAAUUGUAAGUGUAACAAAGUAUUACAAACAGUGAAAAGAGCAGACUACAUAGAACUUAUUUAAAAUGCAAAGAAAGUGCAUUUAAGUAUUUUGUUCAAACAUGCACUUUCUCUGCAAUUUAAAUUUAAAGAAAAAUCUAAUUAAACUAUUGAAUCAAAUAACUCAAAAGGUCAACAUCCAUGAAGUAUGCAAAUUAUUUUGACUCAAACCACAAACAAAAGGUAUUUAUUCACUUUGAAAAAGAUUACUUUAGCCACAUUGGUGUGUGUAUUCAGUGUCUUCUCAAAUAAAAGCUGGAUGGAUUUUGAACUUGGA